AUGCUUCUGUUUCCAUUCUUGGAAUAGUUGGAAAACUCUUUCUUCUGUAAGCAACUCUUGCGGCUUGUCUAAUUCUGGAAAAUAAGUAGUAAAAGCAGAAACUUGAGAUGAUAAUGUUGCUAAGAUCAAGAAAAGUGGGAAACUAAGAAGAAGAAAAAGGUAGGAUUUUUGUGUAUUUUCCAUGUUUUAUUUUAGUAACACAAUGCAAUAAAGGACUUUGAGAUUCUUGUGUUAUACAUAGCUUUUGGAAAGAUGACCCUUAUGGUCAUGAAUAAAGUUAGCAAGUGGAACAAGCG
rnacentral:misc_RNA from 1 species